GGACUACUGGGGUAUCUAAUCCCGUUUGCUCCCCUGGCCUUCGUGUCUCAGUGUCAGGAACUGUCCAGAGACCCGCCUUCGCCACUGGUCUUCCUUACGAUAUCUACGCAUUUCACUGCUACACCGUAAAUUCCAGUCUCCUCUCCAGUCCUCAAGCACGCCAGUAUCGAAUGCAGUUUCGGAGUUAAGCUCCGAAAUUUCACACCCGACUUAGCGCGCCACCUACACACCCUUUACGCCCAAUGAAUCCGAACAACGCUUGAGACCUCUGUAUUACCGCGGCUGCUGGCAC
rnacentral:rRNA from 2 species